CAAAUCUUCUUUCCUGAUUUAGCAAAGAGGAGAAUUUCAAAACCGCAUACUGAACUUGAAGCAUAAAGCAAUUCCACAAGUCGGAUAAUGUGCUGUGAUCUCAUACUGAUGUAGAAAGAUUGAAGAAAUCACAAGUUUGGACUUUGAACAGUCUUGGUAAGGUGUUCCUUAAAAGUCAAGGUACACCUACAUAUGGAGGCUUUGGGUCAUAGCCCAGCCUGUAUCCAUUCAGGAAGAUGUUGAGCUGGAAAUGUCUUAACCAUGAUCAAGAGAUUUUAUAUACCUAUGCAAGAGUGUUUGGAAAAAGUGGUAGCAACCCAUUCUGAUUGCUGGAAGAGACCUUUUCUGAGACAGAGUGGAAUUUCUCUGCCCUGUAGUGCUUCAAUUGUGUGCACUGAAAACCUCAUUUAAGCAGCAAUUCACA
ensembl:lncRNA